rnacentral:rRNA from 1 species
AGAGCGAACGCUGGCGGCAGGCUUAACACAUGCAAGUCGAGCGGGCGUAGCAAUACGUCAGCGGCAGACGGGUGAGUAACGCGUGGGAACGUACCUUUUGGCUCGGAACAACACAGGGAAACUUGUGCUAAUACCGGAUAAGCCCUUACGGGGAAAGAUUUAUCGCCAAAAGAUCGGCCCGCGUCUGAUUAGCUAGUUGGUGAGGUAACGGCUCACCAAGGCGACGAUCAGUAGCUGGUCUGAGAGGAUGAUCAGCCACAUUGGGACUGAGACACGGCCCAAACUCCUACGGGAGGCAGCAGUGGGAAUAUUGGACAAUGGGCGCAAGCCUGAUCCAGCCAUGCCGCGUGAGUGAUGAAGGCCCUAGGGUUGUAAAGCUCUUUUGUGCGGGAAGAUAAUGACGGUACCGCGAAGAAUAAGCCCCGGCUAACUUCGUGCCAGCAGCCGC